ensembl:lncRNA
UAGACACCCAGAAGUAGUGUAGCUAAAUGAUAUGACAACCACAGUUUUAGUAUUUUAGGAACUCCAUACUGAUUUCAAUAUGGCUACACUAAUGUCCAUUUGUAAAGAUCUCCCACCCUCUGUGCACAUCAGCAUCUUCCCUCUUGACUUGCUUUGAGCCUAAAAUCUGAUCUGGUUUGAAGAAAGUUUCAUGAACUGCUGAGAAGAACCCAUAUACCACAGGUAUUGGGUGAAAUAAUUCUGCUGGUGUCUUGCGAAGCAUUCCUAAUCUGAAAAUCUAGAAUCCAAAAGGAUCUGAAAUGUGAAGCUUCUGAGAGUUGUGAUGUCGCAGUAGGCUGCACGCUGCGACAGGGAUCCAGAGAUGAACAUCUGCUUUUGGUGAGGGACGGAGCCCUGGUCCAGCAUCAAGUCAGCCAACCCACCUACCAGGGCAUCUGCCUGGGUCCUCACCAACAGACAUGGGUGCAGAACUGAAGCCAGGCAGCCACCGGGCCAGAUCCCCCACCCAGGUCUGAUAUCUGACUCUGGGCAACCCCAAUCUAAAGACAUUAAUAAAACUUUCUAAAAAAUG